rnacentral:rRNA from 1 species
ACGUAGGUGGCAAGCGUUAUCCGGAUUUACUGGGCGUAAAGCGUGUGUAGGCGGGGGUACAAGUGGUGUAUGAAAUUUCCCAGCUUAACUGGGAAGGGUUAUGCCAGACUGUACUUCUGGAGUGCGAGAGAGGGGCGUGGAAUUCCGGGUGUAGUGGUGAAAUGCGUAGAGAUCCGGAGGAACCCCAGAGGCGAAGGCGGCGCCCUGGCUCGCAACUGACGCUCAGACACGACAGCAUGGGGAGCGAACGGG